rnacentral:siRNA from 1 species
AACGGUCCGUAGAUGAUCCGCUGC